rnacentral:rRNA from 1 species
UUUCGAAUCAUUCACAAUGAGGGAAACCUUGAUGGUGCAACGCCGCGUGGGGGAUGAAGGCCUUCGGGUCGUAAACCCCUGUCACCAGGGACUAACCGUACGGUUCAUAGCCGUACCUGAAUUAACCUGGAGAGGAAGCAGUGGCUAACUCCGUGCCAGCAGCCGCGGUAAUACGGAGACUGCGAGCGUUACUCGGAUUUACUGGGCGUAAAGGGUCCGUAGGCGGCCAUGUGUGUCGGGUGUGAAAUCCCACAGCUUAACUGUGGAACUGCGCUCGAAACUACAUGGCUAGAGUAUUGGAGAGGUGAGUGGAAUUCCUGGUGUAGCGGUGAAAUGCGUAGAUAUCAGGAGGAACACCAACGGCGAAGGCAGCUCACUGGACAAUUACUGACGCUGAUGGACGAAAGCAUGGGGAGCGAAAG